rnacentral:rRNA from 1 species
AUUGAACGCUGGCGGCAUGCCUUACACAUGCAAAUCGAACGGUAACGGGCCUUCGGGUGCCGACGAGUGGCGAACGGGUGAGUAAUACAUCGGAACGUGCCCGAUCGUGGGGGAUAACGAGGCGAAAGCUUUGCUAAUACCGCAUACGAUCUACGGAUGAAAGCAGGGGACCGCAAGACCUUGCGCGGACGGAGCGGCCGAUGGCAGAUUAGGUAGUUGGUGGGAUAAAAGCUUACCAAGCCGACGAUCUGUAGCUGGUCUGAGAGGUUGAUCAGCCACACUGGGACUGAGACACGGCCCAGACUCCUACGGGAGGCAGCAGUGGGGAAUUUUGGACAAUGGGCGCAAGCCUGAUCCAGCCAUGCCGCGUGCAGGAUGAAGGCCUUCGGGUUGUAAACUGAUUUUGUACGGAACGAAAAGCCUUCUUUUAAUACAGGAGGGUCAUGACGGUACCGUAAGAAUAAGCACCGGCUAACUACGUG